CAUAAGAUGACUGAAUGUAAGUAAUGGAAUUUUAAACCAUAAAAUAAUAGAUUAACACCUAUUUCUUAUG
rnacentral:tRNA from 1 species